UGAUACCACACGAAAAAUAAUUAAGAAGGCUGAAGCCGCUCACUAUGCGGCGACAUAAGCAACGCUGACCGCCAUUUUUCCUUCCAUCAUCCGCCAAUCCAACAUUAUCCCAUAACAGUGCAUACUUUGAUGCCAACGAAUUUCAACAGAAAUUCUUCUUAUCUUAACUUUACUUUAGAAUGCCAGGACUUCAUACCUUGUUUAAACACUUAGAAGAAAGUCAAACUCUUAUCGAAAACCCAGAUACAAUUUUGUUCACUGGUGGCUUAUUUCUUGACCCAAUAAUUCCUUCUUCAAUUACCACCACCACCACAAAUUUUCUAAAUGUCUCUUCAAUUGAUGAUUCUAAUGAGUUACAUUCUCCCAUUCGUCGUCGUAAACCAAUUUUCAGGCGAGAAAAGAGUGUUGGUGCCGGUUUUGGGGGUAAAUUCUUGUGUUUGAGUUUAUCAGUCAAGAAGAAUACUUGCGUUGUCGGAAAUUCCAGUGAAUGCUUGUUGAGUAAUAAUGGAGAUGAGAGUUCCAAGGUGGAGGAGCCUAGUGACGGUUCUGGAGGCGGGAGGAAGCGAAAUAUUGGGCUAAGGGGACGUCGUGGUGCAGUGAAUACCACUAAACAUUUGUGGGCUGGAGCAGUUGCUGCCAUGAUAUCAAGAACUGUUGUUGCUCCACUUGAAAGACUAAAGCUGGAAUACAUAGUUCGAGGUGAACAGAAACACCUGGUGGAGCUCAUCAAAACGAUUGCAGCUACUCAAGGCUUGAGAGGCUUUUGGAAAGGGAACUUGGUCAAUGUCCUUCGUACUGCUCCAUUUAAGGCAGUUAAUUUUUGUGCUUUUGACACAUACAGAAAGCAACUCCUAAGAUUAUCAGGAAAUGAAGAAACUACUAACAUCGAGAGGUUUGUUGCUGGUGCCGCAGCUGGAGUAACUGCUACUGUGAUGUGCUUACCACUGGACACCAUCCGGACCAAGUUAGUGGCACGGGGUGGAGAAGCCUUGGGCGGUGUAGGUGGAGCUUUCAAACACCUGAUCAGAACUGAAGGAUUCUUCUCUCUUUAUAAGGGCCUAGUACCCUCCAUCUUGAGUAUGGCCCCAGCUGCAGCUGUCUUCUAUAGUGUGUACGACAUAUUAAAAUCAGCUUAUUUGCAUUCACCUGAAGGAAGAAAAAGAAUUCAGUAUAUGAAGCAACAGGGAGCAGAGCUCAAUGCUUUGGACCAGCUUGAGUUGGGACCUAUGAGGACCUUGCUCCAUGGUGCUAUCGCUGGUGCGUGUGCUGAAGCUGCAACCUACCCAUUUGAGGUCAUUAGAAGGCAACUUCAAUUACAAGGCCGAGCAUCCAAACUGAGUGCCUUGGCAACUUGUGCAAAGAUUGUUGAACAUGGGGGUGUUCCAGCUCUAUAUGCAGGGUUAAUCCCUAGUUUACUACAGGUGUUACCUUCAGCAUCCAUAAGCUACUUUGUCUACGAGUUCAUGAAGAUUGUUCUCAAAGUGGAAUGAAGAACAUCUGUUAACAGCGAAGUAACGAGGUACAGAAGCAUUGUAUUACAAUGUUAUUCAUCACAUGAUAUUAAAGAGGAAAAAAGCUUAUCAAACAAAAAGGCUGGUAUUCUCUUCAACAGGCUGAAAAGAUAGCUGAUUAAUGAUUACCUUUUUGGGGAAAUGAAAAGGGUGAGGAGAGCAACGAUAAAGUGAGAGUAAAUUAUAAUAACUCGGCGAUGAUUGAUUUACGCUUAGUCGCUUAUAAUGUAACUCAAGUUGAACAACAGUUUGGAUGGAUAUUACACCCAUUUUAACAAUUAAAUGAUUGCAUCUCUUGUCAA